rnacentral:rRNA from 1 species
AUUGAACGCUGGCGGCAGGCCUAACACAUGCAAGUCGAGCGGAAACGAGUUAUCUGAACCUUCGGGGAACGAUAACGGCGUCGAGCGGCGGACGGGUGAGUAAUGCCUAGGAAAUUGCCCUGAUGUGGGGGAUAACCAUGGAAACGAUGGCUAAUACCGCAUGAUGCCUACGGGCCAAAGAGGGGGACCUUCGGGCCUCUCGCGUCAGGAUAUGCCUAGGUGGGAUUAGCUAGUUGGUGAGGUAAGGGCUCACCAAGGCGACGAUCCCUAGCUGGUCUGAGAGGAUGAUCAGCCACACUGGAACUGAGACACGGUCCAGACUCCUACGGGAGGCAGCAGUGGGGAAUAUUGCACAAUGGGCGCAAGCCUGAUGCAGCCAUGCCGCGUGUAUGAAGAAGGCCUUCGGGUUGUAAAGUACUUUCAGUCGUGAGGAAGGCGGCGUCGUUAAUAGCGGCGUUGUUUGACGUUAGCGACAGAAGAAGCACCGGCUAACUCCGUGCCAGCAGCCGCGGUAAUACGGAGGGUGCGAGCGUUAAUCGGAAUUACUGGGCGUAAAGCGCAUGCAGGUGGUUUGUUAAGUCAGAUGUGAAAGCCCGGGGCUCAACCUCGGAAUAGCAUUUGAAACUGGCAGACUAGAGUACUGUAGAGGGGGGUAGAAUUUCAGGUGUAGCGGUGAAAUGCGUAGAGAUCUGAAGGAAUACCGGUGGCGAAGGCGGCCCCCUGGACAGAUACUGACACUCAGAUGCGAAAGCGUGGGGAGCAAACAGG